rnacentral:lncRNA from 1 species
GGGAUGAACAGACACAAGGUAUGUGAGGGGCUUGAGUCAGGGGCAGGGUGCAGUGGUUGAGGGGCCAGAGCUGAGUAUGGGCUCCAUCACUUUCCUGCUGUUGUCCCUGGGAGCCACUUAACCUCCUGAAGCCUGUCUCCCCACCUGGAAAAGGGGAUAGUGUGACCUCACAGAGUUGUGGUGGGAUUCAAAUAAGAUAAUGUGCAAAUAAGAUAAUGUGUGUGGAGACUUUCUCAAGUGCUAAGGGAGUUGUUGCUAUUGUGAUCAUUAGCUCAGAUGUUGCUCACUCGUGUAAUGCUUCAACAGCUACCUGUGCUUACCCUCAGAGCAGAAGAGAAACUUCAGUGAAGGAGGCCUAGUCCAGGGCAGCAGGCAGCUAGGAUGUACACACACACACACUUUGCUUAUACAAGUGAUAAAAUACCUUUAAAAAAAAAUCAGAAAAUAUGCCUGGCAUGGUGGCAUGUGCCUUGGUCUCACCUACUCCGGAAGCUGAGGCAAGAGGAUCACUUGAGUUCAGUUUAAGGCCAGCCUCAGCAAUUUAGUGAGACCUCUGUAUAAAUAAAUAAAAUAAGGUACACCAGUAGGUAUGUUUUUAAAAAAUAAAAAAUUAGACACCUUUAGGGGUUCGGCUGUGGCUCAGUGGUACAGCACUUGCCUAGAAUGCGUGAGGCACUGGGUUCUAUCUUCAGCACCACAUAAAAAUAAACAAACAAACAAAAAAGGCAUUCUGUCCAUCUCCAACUACAAAAAAAAAAAAAAUCAAACACCUUUAUCCCACUAACCAGAAGUAACCAUUGGUAAAUUCUUGGAAUCUGCCAAAUAUAGAUACAGAUAUGCGGAAAAAGAGAAAGAUCUGCACAGCAUUUUGCAAUCUGCUUUUCUCAGUAGACAAAUAUUUUUCCUAUCUGCAAAACACUGUAUAAUGGGGGCAGGGGGUAUGAACCCUGGGUGCUCUAUUACUGAGCCCUUUUUCUAUUUUUAUUUUGAGACAGGGUCUCACUAAAUUAUCAGGCUGACCUGGAAUUUGCAAUCCUCCUCUCUCAGCCUCCCCAGUACCUGGGAUUACAGGGCUGUGCCAGUACACCUGGCUAUUCCUGGGUAGCCUCACCUGGAGGAGCUCCCACACACACAUGGUAGGUACUUACACUAAGUACUGAGGAUGGAAUGCUCCCAGGACCAGACCACUGAGUCAGCCUUUUUUUUUUUUUUUUAAAUAUCCCAGCCCCCAGAAUUGAACCCAGGGGUUCUUUACCAAUAUGCUAUAUCCCCAGCCCUUUCUGUUUGUUUGUUUGUUUUAAUACAGAGUCUCACCAAAUUGCUUAGGGCCUCCCUAAUUUUUUUUAAUCUCUAUUUUAUUUAUUUAUUUUUAUGUGGUGCUUAGGAUUGAAUCCAUGGCCUUGAACCCAGGGCCUCCCUAAAUCGAUGGGGUUGGCUUCCAAUUUGCCAUCCUCUCGCCUCAGCCUGAGUAGCUGGGAUUAAAGGCAGGUACCCCCCGCACUUUUGGGGAGGGUAACCUGGAUGGAACCGAGGGGUGCUUAACUACAGAGCCAAAUCCCCAGCCCUUUUUUAUUUUCAGACAGGGUCUCGCUAAAUCACUGAGGCUGGCCUCAAAUGCUCCUGCCUCCAGCCGCUUGGAUUACAGGUGUGGGCCUCCACAUGGGCUAUUCCACUUAAUUGUUAAUGACAGUUUAAUAUUCCACUUUUCGGGCAUGAUUAACAGGUUUCCUUCAUUUUUCAUUUUCCCCCAAGAUAAAGUUUGAUGAGUAAGCUUGUGAGGCCACCUGUGUGCGCACCUGUGAGAUUGCUGCUUACAAUCAUUCCUGGGGACGUUAUGGGUGCCUGUCCUUAGCUGCCAGGAGCCUCCAGGUGGCUCUUCCAGGACCCAGUACUUUCAUCUCUCAGACCUGCCCUGGAAGCCCAGGAAACUGCCCUGAAGGCCUCACCACACCGCCAGGGGCCUGGGAAGAGCACAAAGCCACCAAGCCACCGGAAGCCGCCCCGCCCUCCCGCCGACAUUCCUCCCGACAAUGGCUGCCUCGGGAAUCCGCGGAAUGAGGAGGCCCGUGGCCUCCCAAACCCACUCCCCUCCACCCCGCAUCUAUGCGUACCCGCUCCAGGCCCGCAGCCCCGCGCCCUGCUCCCCACGCCCAUCCCCAGCGCCAGGUCCUUGGCAGGCCCUGCUGCCUCUCAGGCGGCUACUCUCCGACUGUAAAAUGGGGGACUUGGGGUCAGUGGCUGCUGAAUUCCCCACGGAUCACAAACACGUAAAAAACGUGAACAGGCUUUGGGGCCAGAGUGCUCAGGUUGAAAUCCGCAUCUGCCCUAGUUUACCCUGUGAAUUCAGUGCCCUGGGCCCCAGCUUUCCCCUAAAAGUGGGUUGAUAUAUACCAGCACCUUCUCAUUGGCCAACCAGAGGCUAAUCUGUCAAAAUCUAUGAAUGGGGACCAAUGAUUAACUCGGUCCAAAACCCAACUAGACACCAUCCCCAGUCCUUUCUCAUGCCCAGUGCAGAUUUUGGCCCCUGGAUAUUUGCCCAACCAUUGGCCACACCAAUGGAAGCUAAGAAGAGCAUCCCUCUGCAGGUUUCCAUAACCCCUCCUAUUAGCCAUGAAGUUGUGAAUGGGUAAACCCAUAAAGAAUUUGGGUGUCAAAUAAAAGUUGAAAGGUAGGAAACCCAUGUCAGGUCACAUGUUCCUGUUUUUUAUUUGGGAAACACAAGCAUUUCUAAGGCAGCCAGCAUUUGCUAGACACCAAGAGUGACAAGACUCCAGGCUCAGUCUUAGCAACUUAGUGAGACCCUAAGCAAUUUGGCAAGACCCUGCCUCAAAAUAAAAAAUAAAAAGGGCUGGAGAUCUCUAAAGAAGAAAGAAAUUAUGGCAUUUGCAGGUAAAUGGAUGGAGCUGGAGAAUAUCAUGUUAAACAAAGUAAGCCAAACCCAAAAAGCCAUGGCCAGAUGUUUUCUCUGAUGAGAUGAUGCUAAUCCAUAAGGGGGGAGGGCGGGUGCAGUUAGGGAAGAAUGAAGGAAUUUUGGAUUGUGCAGAGGGGA